CACGUAGUUAGCCGGAGCUUAUUCUUCAGGUACCGUCAUUUCUUUCUUCCCUGACUAAAGAACUUUACAAUCCGAAGACCUUCUUCAUUCACGCGGCAUUGCUGGGUCAGAGUUUCCUCCAUUGCCCAAUAUUCCCCACUGCUGCCUCCCGUAGGAGUCUGGGCCGUAUCUCAGUCCCAAUGUGGCCGAUCACCCUCUCAGGUCGGCUACGCAUCGUCGCCUUGGUGGGCCGUUACCUCACCAACUAGCUAAUGCGACGCGAGUCCAUCUCAUACCGGAUUGCUCCUUUUACCCCUCUGCCAUGCGGCAGUGUGGUCUUAUACCGUAUUAACUGAAGUUUCCCUCAGGUAUCCCGUUGUAUGAGGCAGGUUACUCACGCGUUACUCACCCGUUCGCCACUAGGAUAUUGCUAUCCCCGUUCGACUUGCAUGUGUUAGGCAUGCCGCCAGCGUUCGUCCUGAGCCAGGAUCAAACUCU
rnacentral:rRNA from 1 species